AGUAGUUUGACUCCGUGGCUCGAGGACGACGCUGGCGGCGUGCUUAACACAUGCAAGUCGAACGGUGACGAGGAGCUUGCUCCUCCGAUCAGUGGCGAACGGGUGAGUAACACGUGAGUAACCUGCCCCGGACUCUGGGAUAACAGUUGGAAACAGCUGCUAAUACCGGAUACGAGACGGAGAGGCAUCUCUACCGUCUGGAAAGUUCUUCGGUCCGGGAUGGACUCGCGGCCUAUCAGCUAGUUGGUGAGGUAACGGCUCACCAAGGCGACGACGGGUAGCCGGCCUGAGAGGGCGACCGGCCACACUGGGACUGAGACACGGCCCAGACUCCUACGGGAGGCAGCAGUGGGGAAUAUUGCACAAUGGGCGAAAGCCUGAUGCAGCGACGCCGCGUGAGGGAUGACGGCCUUCGGGUUGUAAACCUCUUUCAGCAGGGAAGAAGCGCAAGUGACGGUACCUGCAGAAGAAGCACCGGCUAACUACGUG
rnacentral:rRNA from 1 species